rnacentral:lncRNA from 1 species
GCUUUCAGUACUGAGCCCCUGCGCUAAAGACCAUGCUACAAGAAGCUAGAUGUUAGGGCAGUCCGAGAACUGUCCCUGGUCCACUGGGGGUGGGGUAGGAGGGGUGCACGAGUGGCCGUCUGUGCCAUGUCUGCCUUGCAUUUGAUUCCAGCAGUUACCAAGCUAAACUAGAGAAAGAAAUAGCUUUGUUGUGGAUUGCAUUGUCGAGCCAUUUUCGUGUCCUGAUACCGCAUAAACGAUCACCUGAUCGCUGGAUCGAUUGGGGUGUUCAUGUAUGCUGCCCCCACACUAGAAGGAUGAACCAAAGUUAGGAAUCAGUGGCAUUCAGAGUCCCUGAGCCUGAGCCUGAUGGGAGGAAUUUGAUGGAUCAUUCCUUCAUGGGACUGAGUAUUCUAAGAUCAUUCCCUGUAUGCAAAUAAUAUAGUAUGGGUCCCUGUAAUUGUUCUUACCUAAUACAGGAGGGAGCUUCUCUUGUGAAGGCUGAUACUGAUCUUUUUAGGUAGUUCCUGGUUAAAAGAACCCAAAGUAAUGAAAAAUAUAUUGCUAGUAAUAAUUUCUCUGAAUACUCACAGACAGCUAAUACAGCUGUUCCUCUUCAAGAUACUGCUACCUGCUGAGAGGCCCUGGAGCUAUUCUGGAGGCUACAGAGACUAUGCCCUAUCCUGCUUGUCAUCACCUGCAGCUGGUUCCAGGCUCCAAGGAUGAAUUGGCAGGAAUGGACUUUCCCCCCACCCUCUCUUUUAUAAAGCGUUUCCACCAUUAAAAAUUUGAACCUUGAUCAGA